rnacentral:rRNA from 1 species
AAUGGGUCAGCGACUUAUAUUCUGUAGCAAGGUUAACCGAAUAGGGGAGCCGAAGGGAAACCGAGUCUUAACUGGGCGUUAAGUUGCAGGGUAUAGACCCGAAACCCGGUGAUCUAGCCAUGGGCAGGUUGAAGGUUGGGUAACACUAACUGGAGGACCGAACCGACUAAUGUUGAAAAAUUAGCGGAUGACUUGUGGCUGGGGGUGAAAGGCCAAUCAAACCGGGAGAUAGCUGGUUCUCCCCGAAAGCUAUUUAGGUAGCGCCUCGUGAAUUCAUCUCCGGGGGUAGAGCACUGUUUCGGCAAGGGGGUCAUCCCGACUUACCAACCCGAUGCAAACUGCGAAUACCGGAGAAUGUUAUCACGGGAGACACACGGCGGGUGCUAACGUCCGUCGUGAAGAGGGAAACAACCCAGACCGCCAGCUAAGGUCCCAAAGUCAUGGUUAAGUGGGAAACGAUGUGGGAAGGCCCAGACAGCCAGGAUGUUGGCUUAGAAGCAGCCAUCAUUUAAAGAAAGCGUAAUAGCUCACUGGUCGAGUCGGCCUGCGCGGAAGAUGUAACGGGGCUAAACCAUGCACCGAAGCUGCGGCAGCGACGCUUAUGCGUUGUUGGGUAGGGGAGCGUUCUGUAAGCCUGUGAAGGUGUGCUGUGAGGCAUGCUGGAGGUAUCAGAAGUGCGAAUGCUGACAUAAGUAACGAUAAAGCGGGUGAAAAGCCCGCUCGCCGGAAGACCAAGGGUUCCUGUCCAACGUUAAUCGGGGCAGGGUGAGUCGACCCCUAAGGCGAGGCCGAAAGGCGUAGUCGAUGGGAAACAGGUUAAUAUUCCUGUACUUGGUGUUACUGCGAAGGGGGGACGGAGAAGGCUAUGUUGGCCGGGCGACGGUUGUCCCGGUUUAAGCGUGUAGGCUGGUUUUCCAGGCAAAUCCGGAAAAUCAAGGCUGAGGCGUGAUGACGAGGCACUACGGUGCUGAAGCAACAAAUGCCCUGCUUCCAGGAAAAGCCUCUAAGCAUCAGGUAACAUCAAAUCGUACCCCAAACCGACACAGGUGGUCAGGUAGAGAAUACCAAGGCGCUUGAGAGAACUCGGGUGAAGGAACUAGGCAAAAUGGUGCCGUAACUUCGGGAGAAGGCACGCUGAUAUGUAGGUGAAGCGACUUGCUCGUGGAGCUGAAAUCAGUCGAAGAUACCAGCUG